GAUGAACGCUGGCGGCGUGCCUAAUACAUGCCAGUAGAACGCUGAAGGAGGAGCUUGCUCUUCUGGAUGAGUUGCGAACGGGUGAGUAACGCGUAGGUAACCUGCCUGGUAGCGGGGGAUAACUAUUGGAAACGAUAGCUAAUACCGCAUGACAACAGUUAUUGCAUGAUAACUGUUUAAAAGGGGCAACUGCUCCACUACCAGAUGGACCUGCGUUGUAUUAGCUAGUUGGUGAGGUAACGGCUCACCAAGGCGACGAUACAUAGCCGACCUGAGAGGGUGAUCGGCCACACUGGGACUGAGACACGGCCCAGACUCCUACGGGAGGCAGCAGUAGGGAAUCUUCGGCAAUGGACGGAAGUCUGACCGAGCAACGCCGCGUGAGUGAAGAAGGUUUUCGGAUCGUAAAGCUCUGUUGUAAGAGAAGAACGAGUGUGAGAGUGGAAAGUUCACACUGUGACGGUAUCUUACCAGAAAGGGACGGCUAGCUACGUG
rnacentral:rRNA from 1 species